rnacentral:rRNA from 1 species
GACGAACGCUGGCGGCGUGCUUAACACAUGCAAGUCGAACGGAAAGGCCCUGCUUUUGUGGGGUGCUCGAGUGGCGAACGGGUGAGUAACACGUGAGUAACCUGCCCUUGACUUUGGGAUAACUUCAGGAAACUGGGGCUAAUACCGGAUAGGAGCUCCUGCUGCAUGGUGGGGGUUGGAAAGUUUCGGCGGUUGGGGAUGGACUCGCGGCUUAUCAGCUUGUUGGUGGGGUAGUGGCUUACCAAGGCUUUGACGGGUAGCCGGCCUGAGAGGGUGACCGGCGACAUUGGGACUGAGGGACGCCCCAGACUCCUACGGGAGGCAGCAGUGGGGAAUAUUGCACAAUGGGCGGAAGCCUGAGGCAGCAACGCCGCGUGCGGGAUGACGGCCUUCGGGUUGUAAACCGCUUUCGCCUGUGACGAAGCGUGAGUGACGGUAAUGGGUAAAGAAGCACCGGCUAACUACGUG